AGGAGGGGCGGGUCUGUUCUCUGAUUGGCCGAUUUGCGGAAAGGACGCUCGCUGAUUGGCUGGCGUGGCAGAAGACAGCAGAAACAUGCUUUUACGAAAACACAUUAAAGGUAAGCCAUUGAAAACAGAAAAAAGGUAAGAGCUGCAUUCCAUGAAUAUUUUGGAGCUGGGAAUAGAAUGCCUGUUAGGACCUGCCUGACUGCUGCACGCGCACCCGUUUGUCAGGGACGUCCCAGCAUGCAGCAGGAGUGUGGGGAAGGGGCUGGAAUGCAGGAGGCGGAGACUCUGGACAACAAUUGCAUCUUCAACUACUUGCACAGGUGCGCGGUCAAGACUGGUGGGGAUUUUUUUUUUUCUUUAGAAAGGGGGGCUUGUGCAUUCCAGUGGCCCUUAAACAGACAGCAGCAUUUUCUCCACACAUGCCAGGAUGUCUUCAGCUCAAACCAGUCCUGUGGGAAGCUGCCGAACAGGUUGGGUGAAGAGGAUGAUUCUUUUUGCAUCAGCACCAUAAAGCUGUCUGUGUGCUGCUGAUGUCCCCUGUGUUGAAUCUGUGUCAUACUGAUGUUCGUAUGCUCUUGCAUUUGCAUUGGCGGCAGUGUGUCACGCUUCAAGUGAAGUUCAUAGGAAGCUCUCAGAAGAACUAAAAGCAUUGAUAGACUUUGCGAGGGGGAAACAUACACAGAGUACACUUUAGAAAAGAGUACUUAUGAAAAUGAUAUGCUUUAGGUAGAAUAUAUUCAAAUGUACUGCUUUAAGACUCUUAAUUGCACGUUAACUGCGAUUAAAUGAAAAUGUUAUAGUACAAAUGGUAUUAUUAUAUGUAAUUAGUUUUUUAGUUUACUAGGAAUUUAUUUAAUAUUUACAUGUCCUUUCAUAGAUAUUUUAGUCUUUAAAAUAUGGUUAAAGGUUGCAGGCAAUGAUACUGAUGAGCAUUUUGAUCAAAUUUACUGUAAUGUCAUUUCUGUUGAAACAUGUAUGCCAUGACUCAAUACAUUUAUUGCAUAUUUA